rnacentral:rRNA from 1 species
CCUACGGGAGGCUGCAGUGGGGAAUUUUGCGCAAUGGGGGAAACCCUGACGCAGCAACGCCGCGUGAGUGAUGAAGGCCUUCGGGUCGUAAAGCUCUGUCAGAGGGGAAGAAAUGCAGGGGUGCUAAUAUCAUCUUUGCUUGACGGUACCCUCAAAGGAAGCACCGGCUAACUCCGUGCCAGCAGCCGCGGUAAUACGGAGGGUGCGAGCGUUGUUCGGAAUUAUUGGGCGUAAAGCGCGUGUAGGCGGUUUGGUAAGUCUGAUGUGAAAGCCCCGGGCUCAACCUGGGAAGUGCAUUGGAAACUGUCAGACUUGAAUACGGGAGAGGGUAGUGGAAUUCCUAGUGUAGGAGUGAAAUCCGUAGAUAUUAGGAGGAACACCGGUGGCGAAGGCGGCUACCUGGACCGAUAUUGACGCUGAGACGCGAAAGCGUGGGGAGCAAACAGGAUUAGAUACCCGGGUAGUC